rnacentral:tRNA from 1 species
ACGUCACUUGGCAAGUCGGACGGGAUCGCGGUCCGGUUGCCGCCCGGGGGCGAGGGUGGCGCAGAUCACAGCCGCGGCGAUGCC